GGGUUGGUACAACGAGUUGCGAGUCGGUGACGGCGAGCUAAUCUCUUAAAAGCCAAUCUCAGUUCGGAUUGUAGGCUGCAACUCGCCUACAUGAAGUCGGAAUCGCUAGUAAUCGCGGAUCAGCACGCCGCGGUGAAUACGUUCCCGGGCCUU
rnacentral:rRNA from 1 species